ACCUGAAGUAAGCAGGAUAACCCGCUGAACUUAAGCAUAUCAUUAAGCGGAGGAAAAGAAAUUAACAAAGAUUACCUUAGUAAUGGCGAAUGAACCGGUAACAGCUCGAAAUUAAAAUCUACUGUUCAAAGAACAGNCGAAUUGUAAUCUGGAUUGCUUAAAUACAUCUGUUUUCUUAAGUCAAUAGAAAGUGACCUCAUAGAGGGUGAUAAGCCCGUAAGGAGAGCAGAUGCUUAAAGUAAUUCUAAAAAGAGUCGGGUAGUUUGGAACUGCUGCCCUAAAGGGAGAUAUGAAUCUUCCAAAGCUAAAUAUGGAUGGGAGACCGAUAGCGCACAAGUACUGUGAAGGAAAG
rnacentral:rRNA from 1 species